GUAGGUGAACCUGCGGAGGGAUCAUUAACAUCAAAACAAUAUAUAACUUGGUAGAUUGUACUCUUCACCGGGUACAUCUGCUACAGUGACUACCACCGUGAACUAUGUACACCAACCCCUGCUGACACACGAGAGUACUGUACUGAUCCUUCGGUAUUGGUUACAUAUUCUCUGAUGUCUAGCACACCAUUUUUAUUUCACUACUCCACCUCUAUAUUCUAUACAAUCUACAAUUACUUGUGUGUGUGUAUCUCUGAUACUCCUCCACUGUAAUUGAGCAACCAAUUAUAUACCACUCCUAGCAAUGGAUAUCUUGGUUCUC
rnacentral:misc_RNA from 1 species